rnacentral:rRNA from 1 species
CAGGACGAACGCUGGCGGCGUGCUUAACACAUGCAAGUCGAGCGGAAAGGCCUUUCGGGGUACUCGAGCGGCGAACGGGUGAGUAACACGUGAGUAAUCUGCCCAUCGCUUCAGGAUAGCCGAUCGGAAACGGUGAUUAAUACUGGAUAUGACAUUCCUUCGCGAUGUUGGGGUGUGG